GUGUUUCCACAGAGGCCCUAGGUCCCUGGCACACUAAAGCUGUUCUCUCUUUUGCGUAGGAGGGGUUGAAUAUGAACUGCAGAAACUCUUGCUUACUGGGACGCAAACAUCAACAACUCCUGACUUCACUAUGCUUCAGAAUUGAAGGGAUGCCUAUCCAACAAAGAUUCCAGAAGCUGGGCUCUUGACUUUCUACACUUCGAAGUCAUACCUCUGCUGCUGUCUCGUCCUGGAACUUCCGUCAUCACCUGGGGCCUCUCUGACCUCCAGCAUCCUACACUGUGUGGCCUACUCACCAUGAAAUAUACUUCUUCAAGGACCAUCCCACCCUUCUCUCAUUGAUGAAUUGCUUAGAGCUUCCAUUUUGUGAAGGAGCCGGGUUAGCCCGCCUUCAUUCCCUUCCAGGUCCUGCUCCUGAAUUUCUAAAU